rnacentral:rRNA from 1 species
AGCUCCAAUAGCGUAUAUUUAAGUUGUUGCAGUUAAAAAGCUCGUAGUUGGAUUUCGGUUGAGAGCGGCCGGUCCGCCGUUUGGUGUGCACUGGCUGGUUUCAACUUCCUGCGGAGGACGCGCUCUGGGCUUAACGGUCUGGACGUGGAGUCCGCGUGGUUACUUUGAAAAAAUUAGAGUGUUCAAAGCGGGCUUACGCU